rnacentral:lncRNA from 1 species
GCAAGGGCUGAUGCCGACGAGCUUGGAGUUAAUGUGGUUGAAAAUCGACGGUGGGUCUGGAUGAGUGAUGGUGUGAAUACGGAUGGGAGUGUUUUAAGAUUUGUAGAAAAAAUAAACUCACUGUGGAAAGAUGAGAGAGAUACUGUAUGUGGAAGAUCAUUGAAGCAAGAAGAUGAUGGUGGGUUUGAGUUAUUGUUCAUGAAAAGUGGAAGCAACUCUGAAUUUUUUCAAGAAAAAAGAGAGUCCCCCCUUUUUUAACGUGAAAAAGUAGUCUCUUUGUAAGGC